rnacentral:lncRNA from 1 species
AUGCUUGGCCCGGCUGACAAUCUUGUAUGAUGCCUGCCGUCGAUUUUAUGCCACAGUGAUCAACAACCAACGUUUGAAAUCUCAAUGUCAAUUUAGUAAGUUCUACCCUGCAUAUAUACUUUUGUGUACCGGGCCUUAUCCAGUUUAUCGAUUGUGAUCGAACUGUGUGAAAAGUCGAAGUAACUGAUGUCAAAUUAACAGAAGUCAACCGUACCAGUUUACACUGUAAAAAAGCAUUAUGUCACAGUCUGAGGCCAGCAAAAAGCUGGUACGAUUGUAUCAGCAUGUUGAUUCCUUCUUAGACAUUGCCACAUGCCAUU